rnacentral:lncRNA from 1 species
UGGGGCUAUGUUUUAGCAGUACAGCACUUGUCUUGCAUAUGGAGGCCCUGGAUUCAAUCCUCAGCACCACAUAAAUAAAAUAAAGGUAUUGUGUCCACCUACAACUAAAAAAAAAAAAAAAAAAAUUAAAGACCAAAUAACAGGUGAGAGUUGUGGAGUUGUGGGUGUACCUCUGUGGUAGAGUACUGUUCUAACAUGCGCAAAGCCCCUAGGUUCCACUCUCAGCACUAUAAUGAAAAAAAAAAAGAUAAACUUUGUAACUGUAUAAGCAUGAGAAGUAAAUUUUACAUAAUAAAAGGUGCCUGAUGUAUGUGCAAUAUAAAUGCUCAGUGACUCACAGCAUGAAAUAAACACCCUGGAAAAAUUAUAUAUUUUAUUUCAUCCAUGAAAUCAAUGGAAAAUUUUAAUGUAGCUUCUCAGUAAAUGAAUAAGAUAAUAACAUUUUUUAGUGUACAAGCUAAAUAAACUAUUUUUAAGAAACAUAAAUAUGAAUCUUGUGUCUGAGAAAAAAAAUAUUUUGUUUUUAAUCACAUAUAAUGAAACCUAGUUGAACUGGAACUGAGGUAUUACAUUCAGCUGCAUCAGAGGAAACACCCAUGAUUUUCCACACAGGAAGAAGGUGCUUAUUCUCCCAUGAAAGGACUGGGAGAGCAGUUACUGCACAAUCAGUGCAGCAGAGGAACAAACUCUGUUAUAGUCAGCUUUGCACUGCUGUGACCAACAUACCCAACAAGAAUAACUCAGGAAGCUGUGUGGAAUGUAUAAAUACUGCUCCUGUCCUGCAAUAAAGGGCUCCUACUCCAGCUGUAUCAAUCUACACAAGUUGUUAGUCACCCCCCUGAUUAUUCUGCUGCAGCCGGACUGCGGCAGAUGGUGGCCCGUUACGGGGAGCCCUGGGACACUCGGGGGUAAGUGACGAAAAAAAGCUGCCCGUCCAUAGAUAGGACGGGAGCAAUCUGCUCGUCCCUAGGCAGAUAGGGCGAGAGGAAAAAUGACCAUUUUGAGAAAAUGGAGAAGAUUGAUACAGUAUGUUUGUGUCUUGUUUUGUCUUGAAAUGUUGUAUUGUCUUUGUGAUGAAAAUAUGGAAGGGGUGAGAACUAAAUGACUAAGGGAAGAAGGCACCCCAGUGGAACCAAGAAUAGUUAGGGCAUGUGUUGAUAAGAGCCCAGGAACUCGAGUCAGAAAAAGAAAGUUCAGAAGAAGAAGGAUUAUCAGAAAAAAAGUUGCAGCAAAAGAUUAUUACUAAAUACUUUUCGUUACCAGAGGGUGUGUGAAGCGGAGAGGCGGCUGCCAAAUGUGCAAGCUGGUCACAGCGCAACAAGGAUUUUCCAAGAGGUGGCGGCGACUGGCCCUUCCCCGCCUCCUGGCCGGGGAGCUGGCUCUUCCACUGCCCGAGCCCAAAUCUAGACCUGACCUGGAGGCACAGUCUCGCAGGCUCUUGCUCCCUGUGCCCAGUAGCAGUUUGAGACCGGGACUCUCCCCAGGGCCAUCUGGGGCUACCCGGGACGCUACAGCCGCAGAAGACACUACUGGUGUCCCUGAUGUUUGGUCAUUUUCAAUGCCAAUAACUAAGCUACAAUGGUUCUCCCACACCUGGAAGCUAAUGAGUAAUGAGCACCAUUAAGGCUUAUUUAAAUGUAAAAAACCUUGAGAUAAUGUACUAAAUUGUUCAGAAGGUUGUUUUCUUAGUGCCUGCUGGAAUACUACAGGAUUUUCUUUAGCCAUCCGGAGUUCCUGCCUUCAUCCCAGUGCCAGUAAAGACCAAGGUGGAAGAAUUUCCAGUGUUGCUGAAAACUGGAGGAGACUUCGGAGCUAUUGCUGUUUCUGCUGCUACAACUUAAGCUAGCUGCCUGCAGAACUUACCUGGACUGUGAUUUAAGCUAACUGCCUGCAGAAUUUACCUGGACUGUGAGUUAAUCUAUUGAGACACUGCUUUACCUGGACUGAGACAACAAACUAUAAUCUACAACAAAUUGUAACUCGGUAUCUUUGCUAACAGUGUCAUUGCUGGUAUAAUUUUUCCAAGGGCUUCUUGCAUGGAGCCAUCAAUUGGCUUGGUAUUGUGACAUUUUGUAUCCUCCCCUUCUGCUUGUAGCAGAUUACUUAUAGUGUUUCUGUAAAAACCACUAUGGUCCUUAUUUAAAUUAAACAAAAGGGGGAAAUGUUGGAAUCUGUAAACAAGUCAAAAUAACACCUGGCAUUUUGCCAAGGGAAUGUUAGAGUUCGUAAACAAGUCUGGAUGGUGCCUGGCAAAAUGCCAGAGGGAGUGGUUUGAGAAGUAACAAAACUGAGCCAUUAAGUAUGGAGAUUCCUGAUUGGUUGACUGAUGUAUCUAGUUUAUGCUAAUUAGAUAAGCUGUGUGGAAUGUAUAAAUACUGCUCCUGUCCUGCAAUAAAGGGCUCCUACUCCUGCUGAAAAAAAAAAAAAAAAAAAGAAUAACUCAGGAGGAAAAUUUUAUUCUGGCUCACCAUUUCAGAGUUUCAGUCCAUGGCUGGACAAUUUCAUAGCUCUGGGCCUGAGGUGAGGCAGAACAUCAAGGCAGAAGGGUGUGGUGGAGGGAAGCAGAAAGAACUUGAAUGCAAGGAGCCAGGAAUAUUAUUACUCCCCAGGGCAGGCCCCCAGUGACCUGCUUCCUGCAGUCAUGCCCUUCCUGCCUACAGUUACCAAUGCAUUCAAAUUACUAACCCAACUGGUUAAUCCACAAUUAGGCCACAGCUCUUAAAAAUCUAAUCAUUUCACCUCUGAACAUUCCUACAUUGUCACACAUGAGCUUUCAGGGACUACCUCACAUCCAAACCAUAACAAACUCUCAUCUAGUGAGUUUUGCUAGCAUCCUUGUAGCUGUCAUGCUCAAUCAAGAACAUAGUCACUAUCCCCAUGAACAAAGAUACCUGACAUACAAAUUAGAUCUUCUUAGAGUCUAGACUUAGGACUUGAAAGAAAAUCCAAACUGCAAGGUGGAUUUUUUUUAACACAUAGUUCAGGGUCCUGUUUUUAGGAAUGAGCCACUGGUAGACACAAUACAUUUAUGAUUUUAUAACAUUUCCUUUGGGUUGUAUAUUUUCUGGAGGAUUAAACACCAAUUACAAAUUACACUGGGCAUUUUCAGAUUACUUUUUUGGGGGGAUGGGUACUAGAAACUAAAUUCAGGGGCACUCAACCACUAAGCCACAUCCCUAGUGCCCCACCCCACUUUUUGCUGGUUGGUUGGUUGGUUUCUAUUUUAUUUAUAGACAGUGUCUCACUGAGUUGCUUAGCACCUCACUAAAUUGCGAUCCUCCUGUCUCAGUCUCCUGAGCUGCUGGGAUUACAGGCGUGCACCCUGCGCCCAGCUUAGUUUUAAAAUGUAUUUGUUAAAAUUGAAAACUUUCUUGUAUUUUUCACAUUUAUGGAGUUUUGAUCCAAUGUGCAUUUGUUUUGUUUUCUUUUGAGAAGGGGUCUCACCCUGUUGCCCUGACUGGUCUUGAGCUCUUGGGCUCAAGCAGCGCUCCCUGCCCAGCCCCAGUGGCUGGGACUGAAGGCAGGUACCACGAUGCCUGGUUGUGUGUGUUCUUACAUGUAGGCCAAUCGAAGACUUUUGCACAUCACUUCUACUCAAGAGGCUUCUCUCCACUCUGCUUCUUUAUGACUCUGAAUUGAACUGGGAUGAUGAAAGACUUUCCCACACACUUUGUUUAUAGGCCUUUGUCAAACAAUGCACUCUCCCCACAUGUGGCUCGAAAGCUUUGUUGAUAAUAAAAGCUGUCCCACAUUAUUU